rnacentral:rRNA from 1 species
GACGAACGCUGGCGGCGUGCCUAAUACAUGCAAGUAGAACGCUGAAGGAGGAGCUUGCUUCUCUGGAUGAGUUGCGAACGGGUGAGUAACGCGUAGGUAACCUGCCUGGUAGCGGGGGAUAACUAUUGGAAACGAUAGCUAAUACCGCAUAAGAGUAGAUGUUGCAUGACAUUUACUUAAAAGGUGCAAUUGCAUCACUACCAGAUGGACCUGCGUUGUAUUAGCUAGUUGGUGAGGUAACGGCUCACCAAGGCAACGAUACAUAGCCGACCUGAGAGGGUGAUCGGCCACACUGGGACCGAGACACGGCCCAGACUCCUACGGGAGGCAGCAGUAGGGAAUCUUCGGCAAUAGACGGAAGUCUGACCGAGCAACGCCGCGUGAGUGAAGAAGGUUUUCGGAUCGUAAAGCUCUGUUGUAAGAGAAGAACGAGUGUGAGAGUGGAAAGUUCACACUGUGACGGUAUCUUACCAGAAAGGGACGGCUAACUACGUG